GCCUGGGUGGCUCAGUUGGUUGAGCGUCCGACUUCGGCUCAGGUCAUGAUCUCGCAGUUCGUGAGUUCGAGUCCUGCGUCAGGCU
rnacentral:tRNA from 1 species